rnacentral:tRNA from 1 species
CGGACUGUAGUGUUAACGGUAGCACGCGUGGCUGGGGGUCAUGUAGUCCGGGUUCGAAUCCCGGCAGUCCGA